rnacentral:sRNA from 1 species
ACCUCUGGAAGAGCAGUCAGCGCUCCUAGUUGCUGAGCCAUCUUUGUAUAUAGACAGAUAAAUGCUUGUCUUGUAGAGUUAAAAUACGAAGCCGGGUAGUUGCUGGGGAAAGAGAGUGAAAAGCCUGCUAAUCUGUCUUCUAUAGCAGAGGCCCCAGGGGGUGGGUUGUUGUUUGUUUGUUUGCUUCCUUUUGUUUGUUUGUUUCCAUGCCUACAAUCAGCCAAUGAGUGGUCCUGUUGCUCCAGCCCUCCACAGCACUGGCUGCUAUUAGAGUUCCUGAUCAUUUGCAAAGCAUCAAUGGCAGAGGUAAAGAAUAAAUCCUAUCGGUCCAUUUCCACCAUGAGAUGUGUUUAGAGCUCACUGGAGAAUCACAAAGAAGCAGGAGGCGGUAGCUUCCUGUCUUCCCUCGCUGGAGGAUGGAGCUUGCUCAUUGACGCCGUCUCAAUUCAUCCUGGGGUUUGCAAAGUUCCAGUCAGUCUGCUGUGUUGCUGAGCCCAUGUAUCAGAAAGAGAGGGAAUCUCAGGCUCCAGGAUGUACUUUAGGGGUUGGGAGUAUGCUGACUGGGAGAGUGCUUACCCAGCAUGCACUGAGCCCUGGGCGUGGUCCUCAGCAGUAAAUACAGGAGGUGUGGUGAGUAUGCCUGUCACACUAGCACUCAGGAAAAUGGAAGCAGAUAAAUCAGGUCAAGAUUAUCUUUGGCUGCAUAGGGAAGCUGAGGCCAGCCUGGGCUACAUGAGGUCUGUUUUUUGGGGGUUUUUUGUUUGUUUAUUUUUGUUUCUUAAAGAAGAAAGCAGAGAAAGGCCUUCCUACUGACGAAGCAUUUGCCACAUAGGCCCCUUUCAGCACCUUCUUUUUCACUUCCCACUUCCUUCUUGGCACUCAGCUGUUCUAGGUAGAAUGAGGGUUGGAGAGAGAAAGCCAGGUUCUGAUGAGCAAUGGGGGUUUCUCUUCCUCCCUGCCUUCUUGGCAGGGUUAUUGAGUAUCCAGUGAGUACAGGGCCUGGAGCUGAUGUGGGGAUCAGAAAAGAUAUCUCCUCAUGCUAGAGGCAACACAGAGCAGGCCACAAGGGAGGUCUCCAAGGGAGGAGGAUUUAGGUUGCGACUUGGAGGAACCGGGGAGGUGGCUCAGUAGUAGAAGCUCUGAGGCAAGCAGCAGGCACGAGGACCAGAGUUUGGAUUCCCAGAGCCCAUGUAAACGAAGGAUGAGCCUAUCUGUCCUGAUAUUCAGAAAGUAGAGACAGGAAAUGCCCCAGAGAAAGAUGCAGGCUAGGCAAGGCUGUACCAGUGAGCCCUGGGUUCACGUGAGAGGCCCCACCUUGACAGAAAAAAUGGAGAGUAACAGAGGGAGAGGCCCAAUAUCCUUAGCCCUCCACAUGCAAGUGUCGAAGGGCUGACAGGGCCUUCUGCAGCCUUGGCCAUCUCUGCAAGGACAUCCGAGGUGAUCAGCUGGGAAGGAACCUACAUCAUGGCCCUCCAUAGCUAUCUCAGGAAGAAGGAAAUCUUCAAGAAGAACAGGGGCAAACCUUGGUGAGUCAGCUCUGCACUCAGUGCUUCCUCGUAUCCCCCCAGGAUCCUGCGCAUUGCCUUCUGAGCCCAUUCUCUCUUGUGUUAAACAGUGGUAUCUUGACAGAUGAAGCUUGGAGAGGCUGAGGGACAAGUCCAAGGGGCUGCAGGAAAGGAACGGUCCUGGUCCAGAUGAGAAGGAGAGCAGGCCAAGGAGGCAGCACCAUCAACAGGCGGCCCAGCCCCCUGACUCCACUUUGUGGAAGAUCAGAAGGCUGAGGUUCAGAGCCAUCAUAAUUUGUUGAAGGUCACACAGCAAAUGGACAGAGAGCAGCUGGUCAGAAUGAGGCCUCUGAGCUUCAGCUGAUGUCUUCCACCCCCCAGAAAUGAGGUGCAGGGGGUCACCUGGUUCUCAAGAUAAGGAGUAGCUGCCAGGCACAGUGGCUCACAGCCAUAAGCCCAACAGGUCUCAGGCCAGCCUGGACUGCACAUCAGGACCUUGGCUCAAAAUAACAGAGGAAAUGAAAAAAAUACAGACUUGCCUAGCAGAGUCCUGUUCAGUAUGGGUUAUAGUUGGACCCAGAGAACUUACUAAGCAAAGAGCAAUUGUUGGUGACAAUGGGUUAAUCCAUAGACAAUGUCUGUGCUUGUCCCAGGCUCAGGGGGACAGACUGGCCCUGCCUGAGCCCCUUCCAGCACAAGAUCAUGAUUCCCAGAAUACCAAGAGAAUGGAUGGCCAUCAGCCUCAGUGAAGCUCUCUAAGUCUCCUUGUCUUCUAUCAGCUCCCACCGUGAUGCAAGCCAGGGAAGGUGUGGGGCAAUUUAUUGCUUUAUCAAUAUUUAAUAUCUCCAGGGAGGUGACAUCAGCAAAAUUGCCUGGCCUUACAGAACCAUCUAGAUAGACAGUGGGACAGGCCCUUCAUCUCUCUGAAUGCCCAGUCCUCCCCACAUGGGGGACAGAUAAGAUUUAUAGACGCCUGUAAGAGGUAUAAUGUUGUAGAGGUUGGCCUCUUGAGCUAGUCAGGGGACCUGCUACCCAGGACCCCCACAAUCCCUCCCCCCUCUGCUUGUCACUUGGUCUAGUAGCAUGCAAGCCAGGUGGCUAUGCCACAGGAUUGAGGUCUAGGUCCUUGGCUGUUCUGGGACAUCAGUGAAGGGAGGCAGGGUGUCGGUAGUGCUGUGUGCUGAUCAACCCUUUAGAUGGAGGACACCAGGGAUAGUAGCCCUGGAUCCCUAGCCUCUACUCUCCCUGGGGCUCAGCUUCCCCUUCUGGAGAAUAUUCUGAGACACAGGCGAUGCUUCUCACUAGCUCUGGAGGGCAGACACCAGGCCACCUAAGGUGGCCAGCCCUCUGCUCUGCCCAGGAGAAUAAGGGAGGCCCAGAGGCAUGAUGGAAACAAGUCGUUGGAAGCUGGAGUGAGGGAAAAGAAAUGCAGAGAGGGAGCCUUGUGUUGUUUGUGUCUCUGGGGUCUCAGAGUUCCCAUUGCUAUUAUCUGGGGACACUGUGGUGGUUUGAAUAUGCUUAGCCCAGCGAGUGG